UCACGGACGAAUUAAAACUUGACAGUUCGUUUGAAUCGGACGAUAUCAAACAACGAAAGAUCGAAAUCCAAAAAGAGAGAAGGGUAUCUUUUGCGAAUAAAGUCCAUGGAUACGGCUCCGAAGUCUUCGCGACUUGUCCACUAACUAAUUUUUGGCUAUAUGGAGACUGUAAAACACUGUCCGGUAGGACGUAUAUCAAUGGUAUAAAACUAAGGACAAACACCCUGGAGACCAGGGUGACGACUACGAGAGGUUUGCAAGUCGAUAAGAAAUGUCGAAGAUGCCAAACGGAAAAUGAAAGCAUCAUGCAUAUAUUACAAUAUUGUAAAUCAACCAAAGGGUUAAGGUACAGAAGACACAAUGCAACUUGCGCAAAAGUGGUGGCCAAACUGAGAGAAAGAGGGUUCAUAGUGCAUGUAGAGAAAGCCUUCACAUCCGACAUAACGGGCUUACCCACGACACUGAGACCGGACAUAAUUGCUGUAAAAGAGGGUAAGGCGUACGUCAUCGACAUACAAAAUGUGUAUGAAUCUUCUGGUGCGUCCUUCAUUAAUGCGUCCUCAAUGAAAACUCAAAAAUAUACACCUCUUAUUCAAUUCAUCAAGCAGAGACAUCAAUGUUCCGAAGUUCUAUUCAAAAUGUUGAUUGUGGGCUCAAGAGGAUCCUUCCAUCAUGGUCAUCUUAACAUCUGGCAAGAGUUCGGCUUUACAUCUACCGAACUCAGAUACUUAGCUCUGAACUGUAUGGAAAACUCCCUUAGGAUUGUGUAUUCGUUUUAUAACAGCUUACAAGAAUUCAACAAUCAAUAACUACUUGGGCAAGAACAGGACAUAUCAUCUGUUAGUUCUCUUGUAACUGUUUGAGUUAUUUUCUUUUCUUUUUUCCUGUGAGGUGAACAAGGCUGAACACCUUAUAUUCCGUUAUGAGCAAGAUAUUAUAAUGACGAUUCCUUCUGAUUACAUAUCCCAACCAUGAUGGAAUAUACUAUGAUCAUACUUUGUUCACUUUUUUCUUGCAUGUUUAUGUUGUCAAGUUCUUUUCUGUAUCAAUCUGUUCCGUUUCAUGUGUGUGUUAUUUUUUUAUCAGUUUUUUUUUAGAAAAAAUUGAAAUAAAUAGGAACUAGCUGGUUCCGUCCGAAGUUUCCCUCAGGAUAGCUGGCAUUCAAUUUUCACAGUUAUAUCCGGUAAAGCGAAUGUUUAGAGGCAUUGGGUGUAAAAUACGCUCAACCUAUUGACAAACUUUAAAUGGGUAUGAAGUUCAUUUUUCUACUUCAUUGAGAAUGAACAGCGAAUGUGAGUGCCAAGUGGGCCAUUUUUGGUAAGCAGAACUGGCGCUGUUGGAUGCACAAAACGUCAAGAUAAAGAGCCAGAUGGUCUCGCUCAUCAGAUACCAUAAAAGGUGUUGGUCGAUAUAGACAGCAGGACGGUGGCCAUGGAAGUCGGAAUCCGUUAAGGAGUGUGUAACAACUCACCUGCCGAAUCGACUAGUCCUAAAAAUGGAUGGCGCUCGAGCGAGCCUCUUAUACUUGACUGUUACGAUACAAUAAGCCAUUUAACGGACAUCAUGUCGUAACAAGUAGGACGGUUGAUAUGGUUGCGUCGAAGGCUAACACGUGAGUGUGGCUUGAGCAGUCAUAUGUACAGAUCUUAGUGGUAGUAGCAACUAUUCAAAUGAGAACUUUGAAGACUGACGUGGAGAAAGGUUCCAUGUGAACAGCUAUUGGACAUGGGUCAGUCAGUCCUAAGAUGCGCUCGAAAGAGGGUUCCGAACGAGGAAUAUCUAUAUUCACAUGAUAUUUUUAUUCCAUCAAAUCGAAAGGGAAACAAGUUAAUAUUCUUGUACUAAGUGUCGGAGAUUGUUUGAUUUCGUGUCAAACAUAUGUGGUAACACAAACAAGCUCAAAUACAUCACAAGUGGUCCUGGAAAGAGUUUUCUCUUCUUUGUUACUUCAUCAGACGACCCUGGAAUCAGUUCAACUGGAGAUAGGGUUCAAAUGAAGGUAAAGAGUAGCCGUUCUUGCUACUUCCUCGGUGCAUCAUUUGUGAUCCUUGAAAAUUUGAGCGAGAUAGUCAAUUUCGCACUUAUCUGUACUCUAAACCGCAUCAGGUCUCCAAGGUGAAAAGCCUCUAGUCAAUUAGAACAAGGUAGCACAAGGGAAGUCGGCAAAAUCGAUCGGCAACUUCGGGAUAACGAUUGGCUCUAAGUGCUAGGGUGUUCGGGCUUGAUGAUAAAGCAGUAGACUUGCUAUUGGAGCUGAGCUUUCGGAUGCAGCAAUGUGUCUGAUCGUUCGGACUAGUGGCUUGUCUUGCUGUGGAAUCGUUUUGCUACGGUAUGCGGUUCGCUUGCGGGCCGUAUUACUUCGGGCAUCGUUUAAUAGCAAACUUAGAACUCGCUGCGUCUAGGGGAAUCCGACUGUCUAAUUAAAACAGAGCUUUGCGAUUGGCCGGAAAACUUGGUGUUGACGCAAAGUGAUUUCUGCCCAGUGCUCUGAAUGUUAACGUGAAGAAAUUCAAAUAAGCGCGGGUAAACGGCGGGAGUAACUAUGACUCUCUUCUGGUAGCCAAAUGCCUCGUCAUCUAAUUAGUGACGCGCAUGAGGGGGAUGAUGAGCACUACUGACCUCUCACCUCCAUUGGCUGCAACGCAGCGGUCUGGUCUACAACUCCGCAACAGGAAGGUAGCCUGGCCAACGGUUGUUUCUCCGGGAGCAGGACCAACAGCUGACGAUGGUGUCUCAACCGACAAAGGCGAAAAGAACGUUACUGUUGGCGUUCAAGCCGUCACUCCUCUUACUCAACAGUCCGAAAUAAGUUCUUCGGGACGAAUUAAAGGACCGAGUAGAGGCGCCUCUGCUUGUCAGAGAAAGAUAGGAUUGUCCUGGAAGGGCAAGGAAGAGGAAGAGCUUCGGAGGUUGGUCGGUAUUUAUACCGGGCAGACCGGGAUCAUCUCCUGGUCGAAAAUCGAAGAAGCUUGGAAUCAGUUAGCGGACGUCUCCGUAAGGAGCAAAAGUAGCCUUAGUAGUAAGUGGCGGGACUUAAGAUCUAAACCCCACUUGCUAGGUUCGAGUGGAGCUCGAGACGACUCAACUGUGGGCGUCUCGGCCACAAUAGAAGCAGAUCUCGUAAGAUCGAAUUCACCUGUUGACCCGCCAAGUAGUACCGUUGUUGCAGAUACCCGUGA
rnacentral:rRNA from 1 species